rnacentral:rRNA from 1 species
AUGAGGGCAAACCUUGAAGUGGAAAGGCAUGCUAGCAAGAUAUAUACAAGAGCCAUGUUUGAACAGUUUGGGCAUAUAUUAUAUGAAUGUGGCGCUUAUCAAGUUGAAGAGAUUGAGAGACACAAGACAUAUGUCGCAAUCCACAGCGAGGCAGAGAAGAGAAAGAAAUGGUGCAGAGUGGCAUACAAGGUUAGUAUGCUAGAUGGGGGUGAUGAACUCGACUGCGAGUGUGGACAAUUUGCACAUGUGGGCUUGCUUUGCAGCCAUGUGCUGAAGCUCGGGAAACAAAGGUCACCACCUUGGCAGUGCAUACUGGGCAAGGGAUCAGCGGGAGCACCUGGCCGGCCUGGGAGGAAGAAGAUGAGCUUGCCAUUUGCCAUCUUCUCUGAUCUGAUUCUUACAAAGCGAGGAAGAAGAGGAUAA